UUUAAUGAAAACAAAAAAAAAAAAUAAAUGUUUGAAUAGAAAAUAAAAAAUAUUUAAAUGACAAUAUUUGAAUGGCAAAAUUCAAAAGAAGAAAAUAAUGCAAUACAAUAUCAUCGCUCAAUGGAGGAAUAAAGGUGUUUCAAGGAAUGGUGCUGGAAGUCUCAAUUACAUUUCAACAUCAACAGAACUAUUUGACAAUCGAGGACCAAGUUUUUCUGAGUUCUGAAGAAAUUUCCCAAAAGCUCAUUGGAGGAAGGAUCCUCCUCUCGUAUUUGAUCGAGUUUCACACUUUACUUAAAUUCGGACGAGUUUCAAUCUUUAUUCAAAAUCGAGGGAGUUUUUGGGAGGUUUGAUUUCUAUAUCUUCUACCAAAUAAAAGUGAAUGCGAAAGAAAGCGAUGUGUGUCCGUUCGCGCAACGUUUUACAUUAUAUGCAGGCUGAUUGGACAUGAAAAUGAGCUAUAUUGAGACUAAAUCUCAACUUGCUAAAAAUUAAGCUUUUCAUAUCAAUUGUACAAAAAAUUCAAAAAUCUAAUAAAUUCUAAGACUGGA